UACAGAGGGUGCAAGCGUUGUUCGGAAUUACUGGGCGUAAAGGGCGCGUAGGCGGCCUGCUAAGUCGCACGUGAAAUCCCCGGGCUCAACCCGGGAACUGCGUCCGAUACUGGUUGGCUUGAAUCCGGGAGAGGGAUGUGGAAUUCCAGGUGUAGCGGUGAAAUGCGUAGAUAUCUGGAGGAACACCGGUGGCGAAGGCGGCAUCCUGGACCGGUAUUGACGCUGAGGCGCGAAAGCCAGGGGAGCAAACGGG
rnacentral:rRNA from 1 species